AAAAGAGAGGACAGCAUCACGGCUCGAGUCCUAGAGGUCCUAGUUCCUCAUGAAGCAGGAGAAAAUCUGCAUGGCUUGGCUCCCAUCUUAGCACCCUGGGAGACUCGUGGCUGGCGUAACCAGACUCAUUUUAGCAAAGAACAAGCAGGGUAGCUCACUGAGGUGCUGGCCACACUUAAGAAUCAGAUAAGCCUUACAGAAGGUCCCCAUUACCCUCAGCUCCUCCAUUCCACAGAUCCUGGCCCCGGACUGUAGGCAGCUUCACCACCUCCUACUGCAGGAGGGCACAGAUGCCACUCCCAGCUGCACAGGCUCUGCCAUGCGGGUGAUAAGGCUGGCCCUGUCACAUCUUGGGGGGGUGUGGGCUUGCUUUUGCAGCUGCCCCAGCCACAGAGAAAGCCACGGAGAAAGAGGUCAGGCCAGGACGCCGUGGCUGGUGGCCGGGGCCAGCAGGCUGCCCAGUGAAUCCUGACUUUGGAUUGAUGGUAUAAAGCUGCCUUGUGCCGGAUCUCAGCCCCGAUCUCAGAAGCAGCAAUGGGGAACUGACCUCUCCUGGGGCAAAGCGAGUGCUAACCUGGCGGCUGGUGGGAGGCGGAUGCUGUGAGUUCCCAGUUCUUGGCUGUUGUCUGAGAGGGGGUGCCGUGGGAGGACUCAUGACUGCUUAUCUCUGUGGUUCCUGUGGAAGGUGAUUUUGAAGGCAUCAGCUGGGAGCCCGGGACAAUAGCUGCUGUUGUGGCCGCUGUGUUGUUUGAGCUGGGAGAUGAAGCUGCGGGCUCUGUAGGAGAGUCCAAGGCAGGGACAACAUCAGUGUGCAGACUCCCCUCCUCUCAGCUGCAGCACGGGGUGAUGUGGGAGCUGCCAUAGUGAGUCACCCUGACCAGCCCUCCCUCUCUCACAGCCAACUGCUCCUUGAGAGGGUGACAUAGCCGUUCCUCUGGAAGGGCCAUAGGACCUGUGAAAACACUAAAGAACAUGGCUACUAUCACGGCACGUAUAAAGAAAAGAUCAGCCAGACACAGUGGGUCAUGCCUAUAAUCCCAACACUUUGGGAGGCUGAGGUGUGAGGAUCACUUGAGCCCAGGAGUUUAAGACCAGCCUGGGCAACACAGCAAGACCCUGUUUCUUUUCCUUCUUUUUUUGAGAUGGAAUCUUGCUCUGUUGCCAAGGUUGGAGUGCAGUGGCGCGAUCUCAGCUCACUGCAACCUCUGCCUUCCGGGUUCAGGCAAUUCUCCCUGCCUCAGCCUCCCAAGUAGCUGGAAUUACAGGUGUCCACCACCACGCCCAGCUAAUUUUUGUAUUUUUAAUAGAGAUGGGGUUUCACCACGUUGGCCAGGCCGGUCUCAAACUCCUGACCUUAGGUGAUCCACCCACCUUGGCCUCCCAAAGUGCUGGGAUUACGGGCGAGAGCCACUGUGCCCUGCCGCAAGACCCUGUUUCUACAAAAAUAAGAAUAACGAUAAAUUAUCCAGGUGUGGUGGGCAUGUGCCUAUAGUUCCAGCUAUCUGAGAGGCUGAGGCAAGAGAAUCACCUUAGCCUAGGAGUUUGAGGCUGCAGUGACCUAUAAUUGAGCCAUUGCACUCUAGCCUGGGGGACAGAGUGAGACCCCUGUCUCUUAAAAAAAAAGGUGGGGGGAAGAAAAGAAAAGGUGUCAAAGAUCUGAGUCGUUCAGCUUGUUUACUAGAGAAGGCAGGCCCAACGCUGGAGGCUCAGCUGAGAGCAGGUGAAGCUGCGCUGGCCGAGGACGCUCGGAGCGGCUGCGUGUGAAACACGGGAAGCCUGGGCUCUGGCCUGAACUCUCCGGGCUGUGUGGGAGGAAAGCGUCCUGAUGAGCUUGCUCUCAGGAACAGAGGCUGCCUUGUGUUCAGCGUCUUCCCUGUCUUCCUUGUCCUUCCCUGGAAGGUGGCUGCCCCUGCACUGUAAGGGUGUGGCGUAACUGUGCUGUUCCCUCUCCAUGAAAAAUGUGUCUUCCAUUGUGACAGCCACGGAAUCUAGGAAACGUGAGGCCAAGCGCUGUGGCUCUCUGGACGCACUGUUGUUGCCGCGUUCCCAUGGUCUCCCAGCCACACAGGUCAUGAGAAGGCCUCACGCCCCUUAAUCCUGUGUCACCACCUUUCAUAUAACUUGCCCUACGCUCACUGCCAAUGCUCCAGGGCUCCCUGCACAGGACGCACCAAGGCAUCCUCAGCCAAGUGCCCACGGUCGUGCCAGCUCGGGUCAAAGGCUGCUGUCACAUCGGGGCUUCUGACUGCACCAUUGUGUCUCGACAAUGGCCAUCGGACCAGGGUCUUGCUCCGUUGCCCAGGUUGGAGUGCAGUAGUGUGAUCACAACUCACUGCAGCCUUGACCUCCCGGGCUCAAGAGAUCCUCCUGCCUCAGUCUCCUGAGUAGCUGGGACUACAUGUACGUGCCUCAAUGCCCAGUUUUAGGACUCGAGAAGACAUCUGGCCUCUUCUGUCUCCUGCAUUGACACCGCCUGUGUUCAGGAUUUCAUCACCACCCACCAGAACGAUUUCAAAAACCUCAAUGCAGCUCCUAUUCUCUGGAGUCUCCUGACUACAGUUCAUUCUUCACACUCUGAACAAGAGCAACCUUUCCACCAUGCAGCUCCAGUAAUGCUCCCCUGCACAGAAACCCUCAGGGACUCCCCACUGCACAGAAGGGAAUCAUGCCUUUCCAAGAAGAAGCAUUCAAAUCACAUCAACUAUGUCCAAUGAGCAACACUGAUAUGACUCCCACGAUAUAUACUGAGGAGUUUCAUAUAUAUUUAUUCAUUUAGAUACAUAUUAUUAUUACUGUUAUUAUUUUUAUUGUUAUUUUUGAGACAGAGUCUCGCUUUGUCGCCCAGGCUGGAAUGCAGUGGACAAGUGUUUGUGAGUUGGACAAGCUUUCGUAAAGUCAUGAAAACAUUGCCAGACAAGAUCAGCUAUAAUUAAAGAUGAAUUAGAAAAAACUCCAAAAUUCUGGAUCUUAAUUGUGCUAUUUCUUUUGUAAUUUUAUUUAUUUACUUUUCUUAUUACAAAACAAUUCAAAUUAUGGCAGAAAAAUAAGAAAGGGCAGACAACUGCAUACAUGCCCACAUAUGACCAACACAUGACAUCUUCCCCAUUCAAUGACAACUACUUCUUGAUCUUCUUCUAGUAAAAAAAUGAAUCAUAUGAUGUCUACUACUUGAAAACAACUCCAUUUUAUUUACUCAGUCCUCCGCUGUUUAAAAUUUAUGUUGAUUUUGACAAAUCUCAUGUUUUAUACACUCACGUUUUCACCACUUUUUUGCUAUCAGUAGAGGCAAAGAAGCAGUAACAACUAGAUAAAAUGGAUAGGAAAUAAAAAAUAAAAGGUUUGGGAAAAGACCCCUAAAGUUCUGAAAAAUGGCUUAAAAAUACUUAAAGACACAUGAAAAGUUGUGAAAACAACCCCAAGUGCACUUACACCUUACAUAAAAAAAGCGAACUGAAAUUGGUGGCUAGGGAUAUUUGUCUUCAAACAAAGCAGUCUUCUCAGUUGCUUCUGGCCAUCGCCCGCAAUCUUUCAGACUGAAAUGCUCUCUAAGAAGUCAGUGACCUUCUACCCAACAUAAUGGACGCCCCUGCACAUCAGGCCUUUUAAAUAAGAACAGACUGGCAACAACUUGUUGUGCAUAGUAGCACAAGAAGGAGACUUUGCACCUUAGUGAUAUUGAUUUGUCCAACCCAUGAACAUGGUAUAUCUCUCCAUUGAUUUUGUUCCUUAAUUUCUCUAAGCAAUGCUUUGUAGUUUUCCAUAUAUGAAAGAUGUCUUUCACAUCUUUUGUUAGAUUUAUCCGUAAGUAUCUAAUGCUUUUUAAUGUUAUUUCAAAUGACUUUUUAAAGUUUUUUAAUUUCUAAUUGUUCAUUGUGAAUGUAUAGAAAUAGAACUGAUUUUUGUGUAGUGGUGUUUUGUAUACUGCAACCAACUUAGACACAUAUGGCUGACUGAUGUUCAAAAGGUAUAAGAGAAGGUCAGUGAAGAUAAUCUUUUCAAUAAAGGGUGCUGGAAUAAUUGGAUAUGCAUAUAUAGAAACAAACAAAAUCCCAAAACAACCUUUAAUUCAUGCCUCACAUUAUAAACAAAAAUUAAUUCAAAAUGGAUCACAGCCAUAAAUGUAAACCCUAAAGCUAUAAAACUUCUAGAGGAACACAUAGAAGUAAACCUUUGUAACCUUAGGCUAGGCAAAUAUUUCUUAGAUAUGACACCAAAAGCCCAAAACACAACAUAACAAAUUAAUAAAUUAGACUUCAUAAAAAUUAAAAACUUCUGCUUUUCAAAAGACACUGCUAAGAGAAAGGAUAAGCCACAGAAUCUGAGAAAAUAUUUGCAAAUCAUAUACCUGAUUAGGGCCUCGUAUCCAGAAUAUAUAAAGAACUCUCAAAAUUCAGUAAUGAUACAAUUCAAUUUUUUAUACAUAAGACAGAGUCAGAAAAAAAAAAAAAGACAGUCUCGCUCUGUGUCCCAGGCUGGAGUGCAGUGGCGCGA
rnacentral:lncRNA from 1 species